GAUGAACGCUGGCGGCGUGCCUAAUACAUGCAAGUCGAGCGAACGGACGAGAAGCUUGCUUCUCUGAUGUUAGCGGCGGACGGGUGAGUAACACGUGGAUAACCUACCUAUAAGACUGGGAUAACUUCGGGAAACCGGAGCUAAUACCGGAUAAUAUUUUGAACCGCAUGGUUCAAAAGUGAAAGACGGUCUUGCUGUCACUUAUAGAUGGAUCCGCGCUGCAUUAGCUAGUUGGUAAGGUAACGGCUUACCAAGGCAACGAUGCAUAGCCGACCUGAGAGGGUGAUCGGCCACACUGGAACUGAGACACGGUCCAGACUCCUACGGGAGGCAGCAGUAGGGAAUCUUCCGCAAUGGGCGAAAGCCUGACGGAGCAACGCCGCGUGAGUGAUGAAGGUCUUCGGAUCGUAAAACUCUGUUAUUAGGGAAGAACAUAUGUGUAAGUAACUGUGCACAUCUUGACGGUACCUAAUCAGAAAGCCACGGCUAACUACGUGCCAGCAGCCGCGGUAAUACGUAGGUGGCAAGCGUUAUCCGGAAUUAUUGGGCGUAAAGCGCGCGUAGGCGGUUUUUCAAGUCUGAUGUGAAAGCCCACGGCUCAACCGUGGAGGGUCAUUGGAAACUGGAAAACUUGAGUGCAGAAGAGGAAAGUGGAAUUCCAUGUGUAGCGGUGAAAUGCGCAGAGAUAUGGAGGAACACCAGUGGCGAAGGCGACUUUCUGGUCUGUAACUGACGCUGAUGUGCGAAAGCGUGGGGAUCAAACAGGAUUAGAUACCCUGGUAGUCCACGCCGUAAACGAUGAGUGCUAAGUGUUAGGGGGUUUCCGCCCCUUAGUGCUGCAGCUAACGCAUUAAGCACUCCGCCUGGGGAGUACGACCGCAAGGUUGAAACUCAAAGGAAUUGACGGGGACCCGCACAAGCGGUGGAGCAUGUGGUUUAAUUCGAAGCAACGCGAAGAACCUUACCAAAUCUUGACAUCCUUUGACAACUCUAGAGAUAGAGCCUUCCCCUUCGGGGGACAAAGUGACAGGUGGUGCAUGGUUGUCGUCAGCUCGUGUCGUGAGAUGUUGGGUUAAGUCCCGCAACGAGCGCAACCCUUAAGCUUAGUUGCCAUCAUUAAGUUGGGCACUCUAAGUUGACUGCCGGUGACAAACCGGAGGAAGGUGGGGAUGACGUCAAAUCAUCAUGCCCCUUAUGAUUUGGGCUACACACGUGCUACAAUGGACAAUACAAAGGGCAGCGAAACCGCGAGGUCAAGCAAAUCCCAUAAAGUUGUUCUCAGUUCGGAUUGUAGUCUGCAACUCGACUACAUGAAGCUGGAAUCGCUAGUAAUCGUAGAUCAGCAUGCUACGGUGAAUACGUUCCCGGGUCU
rnacentral:rRNA from 1 species